AGCUGGUCUGAGUGCAGUGGUGUUUACAACUAAUUGAUCACAACCAGUUACAGAUUUCUUUGUUCCUUCUCCACUCCCACUGCUUCACUUGACUAACCUUUG
ensembl:misc_RNA Y_RNA Y RNA